UACGUAGGGUCCGAGCGUUGUCCGGAAUUAUUGGGCGUAAAGGGCUCGUAGGCGGUCUGUUGCGUCGGGAGUGAAAACUUACAGCUUAACUGUGAGCGUGCUUUCGAUACGGGCAGACUUGAGGCAUUCAGGGGAGAACGGAAUUCCUGGUGUAGCGGAGAAAUGCGCAGAUAUCAGGAGGAACACCGGUGGCGAAGGCGGUUCUCUGGGAAUGUCCUGACGCUGAGGAGCGAAAGUGUGGGGAGCGAACAGG
rnacentral:rRNA from 1 species